rnacentral:rRNA from 1 species
GACGAACGCUGGCGGCGUGCCUAAUACAUGCAAGUAGAACGCUGAAGGAGGAGCUUGCUUCUCUGGAUGAGUUGCGAACGGGUGAGUAACGCGUAGGUAACCUGCCUGGUAGCGGUGGAUAACUAUUGGAAACGAUAGCUAAUACCGCAUAACAGUAGAUAUCGCAUGAUAUCUACUUGAAAGGUGCAAUUGCAUCACUACCAGAUGGACCUGCGUUGUAUUGGCUAGUUGGUGAGGUAACGGCUCACCAAGGCGACGAUACAUAGCCGACCGGCGAGGGGGGUCGGCCACACUGGGACUGUGACACGGCCCAGACUCCUAGGGGAGGCAGCAGUAGGGAUUCUUCGGCAAGGGGCGGAAUUCUGACCGAGCAACGCCGCGGGAGUGAAGAAGGUUUUCGGAUCGUAAAGCUCUGUUGUAGGAGAGGAACGAGUGUGAGAGUGGAAAGUUCACACUGUGACGGUAUCUUACCAGAAAGGGACGGCUAACUACGUG